rnacentral:lncRNA from 10 species
GAGGUGGGAGGAUUGCUUGAGCCUAGCCGGGGCAACAUAGCGAGACCCGGAGGCAUGGUGGCACACGCCUGUGGUCCCAGGUACUUGGAACGCUGAGGUGGGAGGAUGGCUUGAGCCAGGGAGUUCAGGGCUGCAGUGAGCUGAGAUCGCGCCACUGCUCCAGCCUGGGCGACAGAGCAAGACCCUGUCUCAAAAACACACACAC